rnacentral:lncRNA from 1 species
UUAAGACCGUUGGAGGUUGAGUUAGCGUGAGGUUUCUCCUAUUGACUUCUAACCGACGUUAGACGAGCGUUUGCGGUAGGUUAAUAUUUACCGAAAUCGUCGGAUUUUCUUCUAUGUCGUCGAAUUGUCAGCAUAUAUUUUUGGCUUUGUUCAUCACGCUUAGUAGCUCGAAUUCAUAGAUUUGCAGGUUUUUGUGAAAUCUGGAUUUGGAGAAUAGUUUAGUGAUUUUAGAUGAAAUUAUACAUGUUGAACUGGGAUUUGACUUAGGAGAAAACUUGUUAAA